rnacentral:rRNA from 1 species
UACGGAGGAUGCAAGCGUUAUCCGGAUUUAUUGGGUUUAAAGGGUGCGCAGGUGGUUGAAUAAGUCAGUGGUGAAAGUCUGGCGCUUAACGUUAGGAUUGCCAUUGAUACUGUUUGACUUGAAUAUGGAUGAGGUAGGCGGAAUGUGUAGUGUAGCGGUGAAAUGCUUAGAUAUUACACAGAACACCGAUUGCGAAGGCAGCUUACUAAUCCAUUAUUGACGCUGAGGCACGAAAGCGUGGGGAUCAAACAGGAUUAGAUACCCUGGUAGUCCACGCUGUAAACGAUGAUCACUCGCUGUUUGCGAUACACAGUCAGCGGCUAAGCAAAAGCAUUAAGUGAUCCACCUGGGGAGUACGGCCGCAAGGCUGAA